CCUACGGGAGACUGCAGUGAGGAAUAUUGGUCAAUGGACGAGAGUCUGAACCAGCCAAGUAGCGUGAAGGAUGACUGCCCUAUGGGUUGUAAACUUCUUUUAUAAAGGAAUAAAACGAGGCACGUGUGCCUUUUUGCAUGUACUUUAUGAAUAAGGAUCGGCUAACUCCGUGCCAGCAGCCGCGGUAAUACGGAGGAUCCGAGCGUUAUCCGGAUUUAUUGGGUUUAAAGGGAGCGUAGAUGGGUUGUUAAGUCAGUUGUGAAAUUUUGCGGCUCAACCGUAAAAUUGCAAUUGAUACUGGCAGUCUUGAGUACAGUUGAGGUAGGCGGAAUUCGUGGUGUAGCGGUGAAAUGCUUAGAUAUCACGAAGAACCCCGAUUGCGAAGGCAGCUUACUAAACUGUGACUGACAUUGAUGCUCGAAAGUGUGGGUAUCAAACAGGAUUAGAUACCCGAGUAGUC
rnacentral:rRNA from 1 species